GGUUAAGUUAAUAAGGGCGCACGGUGGAUGCCUUGGCACUAGGAGCCGAAGAAGGACGUGACAAACGACGAUAUGCCUUGGGUAGCUGUAAGUAAGCGAUGAUCCAGGGAUUUCCGAAUGGGGGAACCCAACAGGUACUACC
rnacentral:rRNA from 1 species